GCAUAAGAGGCCGCUGCCCCACGAACGGAGUGUGCUCCAAAAGUUUGGUCAAUACCGGCAAGGGAUAGUAGCCACCUAACCCAUCUGGCCAGUGUAGUAACCGAGACCGGACCAUAAGGGCGGACGUAAGAGAUGAGAAGUUGAUGAGUGGAAGGUUGCCGCAACGUCACGGUGGCUUCCACGUAGUGACGGAGGGUUGAGACCACGCAGAGUUGAGGGUCAGAAGGGAAGAAAGGGUAGAAGACCGAGAGAGAGUUGGACUUAGUGCGACGUGAGAUCUGAAAGGUGACACCCGCCGGACAGAAAGU